GCAAGUCGAACGGAUGUAGUGUUUAAACUACAUUAGUGGCGAACGGGUGAGUAACACGUGAGUAACCUGCCCUCUACAACGGGAUAACACAGAGAAAUUUGUGCUAAUACCGUAUAAUACCAUAGAACCGCAUGGUUCAAUGGUCAAAGCGCUUUAGCGGUAGAGGAUGGACUCGCGUCCCAUUAGCUAGUUGGUGAGAUAACAGCCCACCAAGGCAACGAUGGGUAGCCGAGUUGAGAGACUGAUC
rnacentral:rRNA from 1 species